AUAAAGAUAAGCUAAAUUUAAGCUAAUGGGCUCAUACCUCAUUUAUGAGAGCAAUCUCUCUUUAUA
rnacentral:tRNA from 1 species